rnacentral:rRNA from 1 species
UGCAAAACACGCUGAAGUUAUACACAUGGGUACAUACCUGCCUGUGAGACGUGCAAGGGGUGAAAACGAGCCAGGUGGUGUGCCAUUCGGGUUACCUUGCAGACAUCUGUCAGAGCUCAAGGGUCAACUAUGAGGACCCUGUCCGGGUGACACUGGACGUUGUGGCAACCGGUGCAAUGCUCUACGACCAGAUCUGGCUCGGCUCAUACAUGUCAGGUGGUGUAGGAUUCACCCAGUACGCAACAGCAGCCUACACAGACAACAUCCUCGACGACUUCACCUACUUCGGUAAGGAGUACGUGGAGGACAAAUAUGGACUCUGUGAGGCACCAAACACCAUGGACACAGUCCUGGACGUUGCGAGUGAGGUCACAUUCUACGGACUUGAACAGUACGAGGAAUACCCUGCACUCCUCGAAGACCAGUUUGGUGGAUCCCAGAGGGCCGCAGUCGUUGCAGCUGCAGCUGGAUGUUCCACAGCCUUCGCAACAGCAAAUGCCCAGACAGGUCUCAGCGGAUGGUACCUCUCAAUGUACCUGCACAAGGAGCAGCACUCCAGGCUCGGAUUCUACGGUUACGACCUCCAGGACCAGUGUGGUGCAUCCAACGUCUUCUCAAUAAGGGGCGACGAGGGACUGCCACUGGAGCUUCGUGGACCUAACUAUCCCAACUAUGCCAUGA